rnacentral:rRNA from 1 species
CGGACGGGUGAGUAACGCGUGAGAAUCUGCCCUUAGGUCGGGGACAACAGUUGGAAACGACUGCUAAUACCGGAUGAGCUGAAAAGUAAAAGAUUUAUCGCCUAGGGAAGAGCUCGCGGCUGAUUAGCUAGUUGGUAGAGUAAAAGCCUACCAAGGCGACGAUCAGUAGCUGGUCUGAGAGGAUGAGCAGCCACACUGGGACUGAGACACGGCCCAGACUCCUACGGGAGGCAGCAGUGGGGAAUUUUCCGCAAUGGGCGAAAGCCUGACGGAGCAAUACCGCGUGAGGGAGGAAGGCUCUUGGGUUGUAAACCUCAAAACUUAGGGAAGAAGAAAGUGACGGUACCUAAUAUAAGCAUCGGCUAACUCCGUGCCAGCAGCCGCGGUAAUACGGAGGAUGCAAGCGUUAUCCGGAAUCAUUGGGCGUAAAGCGUCCGUAGGUGGCAUUUCAAGUCCGCAUUCAAAGACCGAGGCUCAACCUCGGGCAGGGUGUGGAAACUGAAAAGCUAGAGUACAGGAGGGGUAGAGGGAAUUCCUAGUGUAGCGGUGAAAUGCGUAGAGAUUAGGAAGAACACCAGUGGCGAAGGCGCUCUACUGGACAUGUACUGACACUGAGGGACGAAAGCUAGGGUAGCGAAAGGGAUUAGAUACCCCUGUAGUC